rnacentral:rRNA from 1 species
CGGUAAUUCCAGCUCCAAUAGCGUAUACUAAAGUUGUUGCAGUUAAAAAGCUCGUAGUUGGAUUUCUGCGGGGACGGAGCGGCCGGUCGCAACUUGCGACCCGAGCUAGCGCUUUCCCCGCAUCCUGCCGCGAACCGUGCUACCAUUAGUUUAGUGGCGCUGGGGAUCGGCUCGAUUACUUUGAGAAAAAUAGAGUGUUCAAAGCAGGCCACACGCCUUGAAUAAGUUAGCAUGGAAUAAUGACUAAGGACUUCGGUUCUAUUUUGUUGGUGUUCGGGACUGAAGUAAUGAUUGAUAGGGACAGUUGGGGCGGUCUGUAUUCCAAAGCGAGAGGCGAAAUUCUUAGACCUUCGGAAGACAAACAGCUGCGAAAGCGUUCCGCAAGGAUGUUCCCUUUGAUCAAGAACGAAAGUUGGGGGAUCGAAGACGAUCAGAUACCGUCGUAGUCUCAACUAUAAACUAUACCAGCUAGGGAUCGGCCAACGUUUAAUUAAUCGACUUGGUCGGCACCUUAUGAGAAAUCAAAGCAUCUGGGUUCCGGGGGGAGUAUGGUCGCAAGGCUGAAACUUAAAGGAAUUGACGGAAGGGCACCACCAGCCGUGGAGCCUGUGGCUUAAUUUGACUCAACACGGGAAAACUUACCAGGUCCAGACAUAGGAAGGAUUGACAGAUUGAUAGCUCUUUCUUGAUUCUGUGGGUGGUGGUGCAUGGCCGUUUUUAGUUGGUGGAGCGAUUUGUCUGCUUAAUUGCGUUAACGAACGAGACCCCAGCCUGCUAAAUAGCGCGGCUGAGCUUUGCUCGGUGCGAGCUUCUUAGAGGGACCAUGAUGCGCGAUAGCACAAGGAAGUUUGGGGCAACAACAGGUCUGUGAUGCCCUUAGAUGUUCUGGGCCGCACACGGGCUACACUGGCGCCUGCAACGAGCAUAUCAGCUGGCCCGAGAGGGUCUUGGCUAAUCUUUUGAACCGGCGCCGUGCUUGGGAUUGACCUUUGCAAUUGUUGGUCAUGCAACGAGGAAUGCCUUGUAAACGCGAGUCAUCAGCUCGCAUUGAAUACGUCCCUGCCCUUUGUACACACCGCCCGUCGCUCCUACCGAUGAAUGUUCCGAUGAAAUUUUCGGAGAGCGCCAGAGAACGGGGCUCCGCCUUGCAGAUCUGGAGGCUCAAAGUCACUUAAAUCUGAACAUUUCGAGGAAGGAGAAGUCGUAACAAGGUAGCCG